UGCGUAGGUGGCGCUGUAAGUCGGGUGUGAAAUUUCGGAGCUUAACUCCGAAACUGCAUUCGAUACUGCGGUGCUUGAGGACUGGAGAGGAGACUGGAAUUCAUGAUGUAGCAGUGAAAUGCGUAGAGAUCAUGAGGAAGACCAGUGGCGAAGGCGGGUCUCUGGACAGUUCCUGACACUGAGGCACGAAGGCCAGGGGAGCAAACG
rnacentral:rRNA from 1 species